rnacentral:lncRNA from 1 species
CCACCUUUAGAAAACUUUAAUACAGGGUGAGGACAGAAAAAUAGGUCAUCUAUUCACAGAACUGAAAUGCUUCAUUACUCCAAGCUAAAAAUAGAAACUGCGUAUAAAACUUGCCAACAUUUGUCUCAAAGUUGUUCUAUCAAAUUCAUUUGGUUUCCCUCAGAUCGGUUUUUUAAAAAAAAAAACUUGCCAUCUACCAUUCCUCCGGGCUUGGAAGUCUGCCCUCAAAAGCUUCAGACAAGAUGAGAAAACAAGCCUGAAAAAGAAAAACCUACGACACCCGGAAAUCGGCCUACAUCCCCGUAGUAAAUCCCUUGACGCUUAAGUACGCAACUCCCCCGUUACCGUUAGGAAAAUAAGGAAAGGUUACCACGCUCAAGUUACCAAAAACAACCCAGCACGGUGUUUAUUUUACAGAUUGUGUUCUCUCUGCUUUGGCUUCAUUCUUAAGACAUUUAAAACUGGAGCCGAGAACGAAGCGAAGCCCUUCCGCAGAGCCGCGGCCUUCUCCUGCAGUUCCAGCAGUUUCCUUUCUGGAACAUCCUCUGCCCUCCCCCCGUAAAGGAAGCUGACCUAACCCCGGGACGCCAGGACCUGCCGCUGCGCCUCAAGGACUUGAGAGACACCCGGGGCCCGGGCGAGGCCUGAGGGUUUGGAAACGAAAAUGGCGCCGGGUGGGGGUCCCGGCCCCGGUUUCCACGCGGCUAAAGCGGCGGCGCAGAGAAGCAGCGGGCGAGGCCGGGCGGGGCGCGGAGACGACAGGGAGGGGCGGCCGGGACACCGGGACAAAGGCUGGGGGAGGGGUGCGGCCCGAGCCCUCACCCACCCCGCCCCGCGCAGGGAUCCGCGGGCCGUGAGCCGCCUGCCUGCCUUUGUGAGGCGUCGGCUCGCGGGCGGGCGCUGCCGGUUCUAACCGGCUCCAGCCGGUCCCAGCCGCCUCCGGGAGCGGUGGCGGUUGGCGCAGCGCGCCAGUGCGCAUGCGCGCCCCGCCCCCGGGGCCUGAGCGGGUCCAGGGAAGUGUGUGGGCGCGGGGCGCGGGGC